UAUUUUAUUAUUGAUUUUAAAGCGGUUGAAAUUUUUAUUUGUAAAUUUUAUAAAAAGAGUGUUUUAAGUUUGUUUUGUGUAAAGGAUUGUUUAAUUUUGUGAGUUGAAUAUAUAUAAUAUAAGGAAGUUAUUGAGAAUUUUUUUGUUUAGUAUUAUAUGAAGAAAUUUUGUUUUUAAUGAAGGUUUUAAAGAGGUUUGAAUAUUUAUUUGUAGAUUUUAUAAAUAGAGUGUUUUUUAAUUGUUUUAUGAAAAGAAAGGUUAAAUUUUGUGAGUUGAAUGUAUAUAUUAUAAAGGAGUUUUUGAGAAUUAUUUUGUUUAGUUUUUAUAGGAAGAUAUUUUU
rnacentral:misc_RNA from 1 species